rnacentral:lncRNA from 1 species
AAAAGCAACGGAUGGAGGAGCGUCUGCUGAUGUUCAGCAAAAUGUCGUCUGUGUGCUGCUCAUCAUUCCACGCCUUCACCCUGAACGCCCAGCUUUUUACUCAGAGUCUAGGGGGCAGCAGAAAGUUACUGAAUAUGCACGUGUGUCUACACUGCAGCCUCGGGAAGGCCGAAAGAGGGGGCUCCCCACCAUGCUGGCGGCCUGGGGCCUGGACAGAGCCAACUGGGGAAAGUGCCUUGGAAUAGACCAACCUGGUGAGGGAGGUGGGGGGAGCACAUGACGCAACUCACCCUCCUACCAUUCACAUUGCAAAGCCCCAGAAAUUCCUGGGCGUAACUUUUCCACCCCCACCCACCCUGUGUCUCUGUGGCUUCAGGCGCGAGAUUGUGGGGCAGGGCCAACAGACAGAGCUGGGGACACUUGGGGCCGGUUCACAGCGGAGUAGAGUGCGAGAUGCUAGACCCAGGCCUUCACCAAGCUGCGCGUCACUGGUAGAAAAGGACCUUAGGAACACUAGGU